rnacentral:tRNA from 1 species
AAGAUCUUAAGUUAUUUUAGACUGUAAUAUUUCAAGUAUUAAAGAGGAUAGGUUUGUUCAGGUCUUG